CGGGCAUCUCGCGGGGCGGGUUUCGGCGGCCACAGCCGGUGGCGGCCGCCGGCGAGGGCCGGGGCGGCGCGCGGUCUCCUCGGGCCGGCAGGGCGGCCUUCCCGGCCGCGGCUCCUGGGGAGGUGUCAGACCAGGGUCACGUCAGGUGGAGGGGAUUAAGGGCACCGGGAAGCCGGCCCCAGAAACGGGCAGCGUUGCGGGUAGUUCGAGGCGCUGUGAAGCGUGUGUGCAUUGGUGCUGGCUUGUCUUUCUAAACGCACAGAAUUAUCUUUUUCUAUUUAUUUAGCAUAAUUCCAGUGUGUUACCAAGUGCUCAGGUGUCAUCAUCCAGUUAAUAUAAAAAUAUUCUCGUUUUAAGAGGAAAAAAAAAAACCAUUGAGACUGGCUCCGGGUAGAAGCUGAGCUACAAUACGGUAACAGUCUUGUUACUUCAUCUAGAGAUCAGUUAGUCUGGCUUACAUCCAUGCAAAUAUAUCUAAUGUCAUUGUGGCUAUACUUGAAAUAUGUGUUAAAGAUAUUUUUAAUAAUGUAGCGAUAACUUGGCAGGCUGAUUUCCCGAUGUAGGAAAAAAAGUAUGAACUUAACUGUUAAACAUUGCCAUAUAUUGUAGUCAAGUCUCAUUUUCCAACUAAGACUAUCUGACACAAUCCAUUAUACUUUGUCACAUCUCAGCUAUUCUUCCCAGAUUUUGCCCUGGCAGGUGCUGCCCCAAGUUGGUUGACUGAUUUAAGAGCGCUAGCUAGAAUGGUAUAGCUGCUUUCUUAGAGUGAGAUUAAGGAAAGAUGACUACUUGUGUCCCGUCUUGUGACUACCAAGUGUCCCUAACACUUUACAGUAGGGCUGUAACACAAUGUAGUUUGCCAUGCUUGCAGGGUGCUAUUGUUUGAUACUUGCCUCAAAAUCAGCCCAAUAUGGUCGAAUUCUAUAAUUUUGAAAAACCUCUGAUUUAUGUGUGCCUCUUAGAAUAUGGUGGGAAAAUAUCAAGAUUCUUGCUGCUCUGGGAAUAUUGUGGUCUUUGAAGAACUGUUUUUGAGACAGCUUUCGUCAGCUGACCAUCAAAAAUGGGAGAAAACAAGCUCUGACUCCUGUAUCUUUGCUGUUCUCUCUCCCCAAGAGUUGGAAAAAAAGAUGAGUGAGGAGAAGGUAGACACAAAGGUGGUUGACUACCUGCAAGUGCCUCAACAAUUGAGGGAAAAAAGCUGCAAUGUGAUCUCACAUUUUAAUGUACACAAAAGAAUUCACGUAAGAGAAAGCACUCACAAAUACCAGAGGCACAGGAAAAUCUUCAACCAAGGUUUGCACUUUUUAGAUUCAAAAUCAAUAUGAAAAACUUGCAGGAAAUUGGGCAUUUCUAUUUUAGUUCUCAUAAAACUGAGUGUUUGAGGAUUUUUAGCUUUCUAAGGAUGUGAGGUUUGGGCACAUUUGCAGCAUUGUGACUCUGUAUGUCUGCCAGUUCUUUACUGAUAAAGCCAAAGCCACUGGACAUUUUAACAAGCUGUUACAUCUUUCAGGAAUACCAACUUGUUACAAGUGUUGUGAAGGUAAUCACCUGAAAAGAAGAAAGAUUCCUUGUCAGUAUGGCUGGGAGGAAAGUUGUCUUAAGAGUGUGCCCCUUUUAGUUUGUUAUUUGUCUGGCUACUGUUAAAACUGCAUUUUAGAGGCUACGUUAAAAGAGCAUAGGCUCACUAAGUCAAGAACUUAAGUAUUGCCAAAUGUAUGUAGUGAUUUUUUUCCCCCAUGUAAUCUUAAAAGUUGGAUUGCCUUGGAAUAUGCCUUCUCGUGUACAGAAGUCUUCCUUUUCUAAAAAUGUUUUUCUCCAACUCUUCCCCCCGUUCCUCUGUCACAUUCACUAUCCGGGUGCUCACAGAUUAGACUGUAGUUUGUGAGAUUAGUCCUGCAUCUGUUGUAGAUAAUAUAUAUAAGGAAUUAGCUUAGACUAAUAUUACCAUAUGUAUCCUUAUUCUUAAUUUUUCUAUCUAAGGGUAAGCCAUAGAGGAUAGCAGUGUAACCAAUGCCUUCAGAAGGUAUGACUUGGGCCAGUCUAAAGAUUCUUUUUGUGAGCCUGCCAGUUUUUCAUUCUUCUUAAAACUUACUUCCCAAAGUCAUAGUUUUGGGGGAAAGGUAUUUGGGCAGGAGGGGAGGGAUUGCUGGAGUGCAAAGAAGAUUGCGACAGGGAGGAAGGGGAUUAAGGAAUGGAGAGGUUGUAAACAAGGAAGGUGAAGCCGUUGCUUCUGCCUUUUGACAGAGUUGCUGCAAGGUUUUAGUAGAAAUAGAAGCUCAAAGGGAAAGAGCUUUCACUGUCCAUGAAUUAACUGAGCUUCAAACACAUGUGGCUUCUGGGGGUGCUCCACGUGGUUUGAGACCUCUUGCAAUUAUCUUUGUGAGAGCAGGUUCUUGGAAUUCAUUGCUUAAAAUUAGGCUCUUAGACUGUGGAUGUCUGCAAUUCGUUAUUACUACCUUGCAGUGAGGAUUAACGGUAGUAUUAACAGUUGAGUGGUGAGCUAUGGGAAAGCAAAAACUGUUUAUUCAGAACAAGAUAAUUUCUUAAAAUACUAGAUGGUUCCACAUGCCUGUAUUACUAUAGAAGCAUUUAAGUUUGAAAAGACCUUUAAGAUCACCAAGUCCACCUGUAAACCAUGUCCCUAGACACCACAUCUACGUGUCUUUUAAAUACCUCCAGGGAUGGUGUCUCCACCACUUCCUGGGCAGCCUGUUCCAGUACUUGAUAACCCUUUUGGUAAAGAAAUUUUUCCUAACACCCAGUCUAAACCUCCCCUGGCACAACUUGAGGCCCUUUCUUCUUGUCCUCUCACUUGUUACUUGGGAGAAGAGAGACCCCCGCCUCUCCACAACCUCCUUUCAGGUAGUUGUAGAGAGCGAUAAGGUCUCCCCUCAGCCUCCUCUUCUCCAGGCUAAACAACCCCAAUUCCCUCAGCCGCUCCUCAUAAGACUUGUGCUCCAGACGGUUCACCAGCUUCAUUGCUCUUCUUUAAAUGCACUUCAGCACCUCAAAUGUCUUUCUUGUCUGUUAUGUCCAUCUUGCCUAUGAAAUUGCUAACUCAUGAAAAGUACUGCAGAUCACAUGCUUGGUCUUUUUGUCUUACGGUGAGUGUUUUACACUUUCUGGGUUUUUUUUGGAAAGAGUGUUUUGGCAGUUCCUUGGCUUGGGAAUGUCACUUUAUACCAUUUAAAAUCUGUGUCUUUUUAGAUCUUUUUAAAGGCAGGUCAAACAAAUUUGUGUUGCUUCUUCAGCAAAAUUACAAGUGUAUAAUGUGUGUUGUGUAAAACAGAAAACAGGAUGACCAUGAACUCUUCUGGCAAUAUCCAGCCUGGAAACUUGUGCUUUAAUGUGAAGAUUUAUAAUUCCCUUUGGUAUGAAUGUUUCAUAAAGACAAGUAUGCUCUUUGUCUUCCUAAACACAUUAAGAAAAGCAUGCCUGGAAUCAAGGUAAUUUCAGAUAAAUUACACUGCUUGGAGUCUGUUCACUUCUCUGCUGGAAAAUAUAUAGGUGUCGUCUGUCAAGUACUGUGUUUCUUUUAUAUUAAACACAGCUCAGCCUGCUGGGUGGUAAGUGGGAGGCUUAGAGUGGACAGGGUGAGAUUUAUUAGUUCUUUCAGACUGAUGGUGGUUGCUCUGUUCCAGGCAACAUUCUCGAAUUUUCCAAAGGACUCCAUGUUUUUAGUGAACCAGUGGAAGAUGGUGGAAGCUAUGAGUUUUCUACAGCUCUGGAAAAUCAGGCCAUUGGUCUCAAGAUUGGCACUUGUUGUCCAUUGCUGUUGUACCUGAAGAGGUGACCAUUUGCUGUGAGUCAAUGACAUUUAUGCUCCCUCCUAUUUUUUCUCCACCUUUUCCUUCUGUGAAGUACGUUAUGAAAGGAAUGUACUGUGCAAGAUUUUCUUGCAGUUAAUAAUACCAAAAUUCCCUUUCUCGAGAGAAAUGUCCUUUAACACAUAUCAGAGCAUAAUUUUUUUAUUCUGGUAUGUUACUGUAUUGUGUUCCUAAUCCUGAAACAGAGGGAAGCUUGCUCCAAACAGUUUACUGUUUAAUGAGGAUCCAGUCAGUGUGUGUAACCAACAUCAAGAAAACAAGGGAGAGUAAGGGAAACAUCAGUAAUAUGUUGAUGUGAACAAACCAAGGAGUAAAAGUGGUUCUCUUAAGUGUAUUCUGUUAAUAAGAAAACCCCAAACCCAACAACAAACACCUCAAUAUGGCUGUGUCUGGCUUUUCAGCAACUCUCCUGAGUUUUUUUGCUACUUCUGUGCGUCCCUCUCACUGUCAAAGAAUGCAGCAGAGUUCUGUCUACAUGGAAAGCAAAUACUGCAAGUAAUCUAGUCUGUUGACAGGAAGAUCAGUAAGUGGGAAAUAUGUGAUGAAAUGUUAGUCUCAGUAAAACUGAAAUUAAGUAAGAAGAGUUUGUUUUGCCUUUUUUUCCUUCCCUGUUGUAAGGGAUUUUUUGGAGGCGGGGGUUGGUUUCUGUCUAUUGACAAACCUUCUAAAAUUGAAAUUGUACAAGCAGCAGAAAUGGUCAGUAAGGUCAUGAGGAAAGAGAUCAACUUUAUAAAAUAUAUAACUCCAAAAUAGGAAUUCUGAGUAUGGGUAAGGCAAAAGUAUGAAAUACAAGCCUUACGCAAGAGAGUUCUUCCCUGUGUUGAGUGUAGUUUUAUACUGGGUACUUUUUGAGGUUGUUUCUUGGAGAGACUACUGUAAAAGAGGCUCUCACUAACAGUGUUGUUUACCACUGUCAGCCUCACAGGUAGGAUGCUUCUGUCCAGAGAACAAGCAAUGAGAAUUUUAAUAUUGUUCUGCUUUUUAAUUUAAACUACAGAGUUUAGGCUACAUAGUAGAAUUUGGGGAGUCUGACUCCUCAUUAUUUAGGAAUUCUUCUUCAUAUUAUUACAUUGUUGGAAACUGCUGUAUAGUAGAAUCCAAGAUUUGAUCAGAAAGCUAAUCACAUGGUUUGGGUCAAGGGCAGUGGCUAAAAGGGGAUGUUUUAGGGCCAAAGUAGGAAAAAAGAGAUGGAAAACCUGCUAGCUAGCGCAGGAGCAAGAAUAUUUCUGACUAGGAAUCAUUUUUCUGAAUCUAGGCUUAAAAUAGCUAGGUUUUAUUUUUAUUCUUUCUACAACAUUUUGUAAAAAUGUAGGAUUAAAAGUAGCUUUUUUAUAUUGUUAAAGUAGGGACUACUGGACCACAGUUGAGAGAUAAAAAUGCAGUCAGUAACUUAACACAGUAAUAUAGCCUGCAACGUUCCUUGCCACUUAACCAACAACUAUCACCCAGAACUAUGGGUUCCUAGGCUUAUUGUGACAGGCAUGCAAAUAAAAAUAUUUAUUACAAUUGUUGAGUGGGGGGCCCUGCAUUCUCUUAGAAUUCAAGCAAGGUGCACCCGAGUUGCUUCAUUUUGCCAUAUUUUAUGUUGACCCAGACACAGGAAAACUGAAGCCAACCGAAGUACACAAUAAAAAUGUUAAUGAAAAACCUACCAGACCUGGAACCAAAGAAACUUGGUGAAUAUCUUUUCCUCCUCUGGGUAAUAACGCUUCAGUGGGUUGCUGCCUCUGCUCUGAGAGAGACCAUAGGCAGGGCCGGACAGGAGAGGGUGGAGCCAAGCGGGCUGGGUAGAGACACUUGCAGUGAGGAGAAUGGCGAUAGUAGCUGAUGUCCUAAUCUGGAUGUGGGGGCGGGUUUAGUGUUGAGUUGUGGUUUUGGUUUUUUUUUUUGUUGUUUUGUUUUUUUUUUUCCUAAAUCUGGAAGGACAGCAGGCCAUCUCCUGUUGAAAUAAAUGGAGAUGGACAUGCUGUCCAAACAGGGAAAUUUUUUCUAUGCCCUUUUGAGCUGUUCUAAGAAGGAACAGUUCUUCCCUGUUAGCCCACACUCCAAAUGUUAGAUGUAUAAAUAAGAGACUGGCUGUGUACUCCCUCAUCAGUUUCAUUUUGAGAUUUUUUUCUUCUAUCCAGAAUGUAGGAAUAUUUUUAGUUUUUUUCCCCGUAUUAGUUACCCAUAAAAAGUCUGGAGGAAAUUCAGUAAUUCCAAAACUGGAAAAGUGUCCAUAUUUAUUUUUUGACAAAUUUGUUAUGGCUAUUUGGGAAUACUAACAUUCCUUAAUUCUUAGGUCUACAGUCUGCUGUGCAGCUGGUUAUUUCUUUGAGUUAAAUGUUUCAUUUAAUUUUAGACCGCAGAAAUAAUGGGACCUUUAGGAACCUCAGACUGAACUUUGCCAAUGUCUGGACCACUUUGGUUAAAAUGAGUUGUAGAAAUAAAUGGAACAGUUUCAGUAAGAUGCAUAGAUCUUUUCCUGCAUUCUUUCCUUUUGAUAGACAUGCGCGUACUUGUUGAACUAUGGACUUAACCUUAGUUUUGAGGUCUGACUUGUUUCUCAUUGUUUUUUCCAUAAAGUAACAAUGUUAAUCACAGGGAACUAAGUAUUCAUGUACGUGUGUACUUAGUGACCUUAGCCUGCAGACUUUUGGGGAUAAGAAUUUGUAGAGUAAUGACUGCUUUAUUGAUUUUAAUCUAAAAAAAUUAAAAUUAUAGUUGUUUUUUAUCUUUGUUUGAAUUCAGAAUGUCCUUUUUUUGUUUGGUGUCUGUAUGGUGGAGUAACUUGUGCAUUACCUUCUGUAAUUUGUUAUCCUACCAAUUAAUGUAUUUUAUCAGUUUAGCAAAAGCUAUAUCUUAGCACACAAAUGGAACUGAAUUUAAAGAUUGAAUGUUCUUUUUAUUUUCAGGGGUGGUGGUAGUUUGUUAUAACUUUGUGUUGUUAUGAUUCUGGUUUUUGACAGUUUCUUUUUUAUAAAGAACUUAUUUUAUAAAGAACAAAAGGUAGUCUGCAAAACAGGGUGGAAAUCAAACCAGCCUUGAAUAAAACCAGUGCUUUUCAAUAGAAAUCAAAUAAAUUUUGAGCAGGUGAGACUUCCCUAACCAUUGUGUUUCUUUACUGAUUUGAUGCUGUGAAUGUGAACUGACAGAAUCUGACGGCAAAGUCUCCUGCAACUUUGGAAGAACUGGGUUUGUCUUCAUCCGUUUGAAAACUUGCAAAAGGGUUGGUGAUUUUUUUUGUCCACAGAAGAAGGAGUUUUUACUAGCUUUAAAGAGCAGAUGACUUGCCGGUAUUUUAGAACAAGUUUUCUUAUGAGAUUUGUUAGAUGUUGGAACAGAUUAGCUAGAGACACUGUAUGGCUGACUCAUGGGAAGUUUUUAACAGAAAAUACCAUAGUAUCUCUCAGGAUUGAACCUUGUGACGAGAUGAAAGAAAGGAGCUCUGUCCUAUUCUGACGUUUUUAUUUCAUAAAUAACAUGGGGGUUUAGUGGAAUUCCCACAAAUUAGUGCUUGGAACCGGUGUUUUUAUUGAUGAUGGAAUUUUCAGCACAUUUGUGUGUAUCAACACUGGAAGCUACGGUCAUCUUAGUAAAUGGGUUGGCAUAAAUACAAGCUGCUGCCAAAAAGGGAGGUGCCUCAGCUGCCUUUCCUCAUUUACCACCAGUGCUGGGUUUCUUUUCAGGCUGGUUUUCAAUUCAAGUGGGGUGACAAAUAUUCACAGCUUAGAUGAAGGCAAAUCUGUCCUUUUUGCAGCAGCAGCUGCUCAAAGUGACUGUGGAACAGUAGCUUAAGGCUCUGCAGCCAAGGGACAGUCGCUUACUGGGGUACUACAAGUCCUGACCUAGGGCCUUUUUCAGGAAAAAAAACAACAGGCUGAAAGAGCAGCAUAAUAAAAUACAGCUGAAUGUCCUCUAUAGCAAACUAUGACCUUUUGCAUUAGCCUUAAGUGGAAAUAUUAGGUAUUAAGUUCUGCCCAUUAGGCUUUAGCAAACAAGCAAAUUAAGCUAUUCCAGUUUUCAGCUUUCCAAAAAAAUGAUAGCUGAAGAGCUGUAACCAUCUAAUAAUGAAGUCAGGCAGUGUACGUGCGCUGCUUCAAGUGGGGCUUAGCUUCCAGCUUUGUAUCGUUUGCAAAAUCUACUAGCAAUGGCAAGAAAAUGAGUAUAGAAUACAAAAUAAUCACAGUGAAGCAUUAACACAGUGUCCCUCUCCACUAGUGGUGCAGAUUCACAUCACCAUCAGGAAUCCUGUUUUGCAGUGGGGAGAAAGGAGGCAGAAGAUAAAGGAGAAGUCUUGCAUUUGCUAUAACAUUUUAUUUGUUUGCAGUGUUACAAGGUAGAUGUAAACCCAACCUAGCUAAAAUGGUACCUUUGACAUGGAAUUUGUGGUAUUAAGCAUGAUGCUCUGAAAAAUGAGGCGAUCAGAGACCGGACCACACAACGCAACACAAACUGCAGCCAGCCCACGCUUCAUGGAUUUCCGGAAAAAAUAUGGCUUUUCUUUCUCACUGUGUGUCCCCUUGCUCCCACUGCUGUGUACUUGCUGAUUCAGUUUUAAAUCUUUUUCUUUGAAGGCCUCGAAGUUUCUAUAAUGAAUGCCAGCUGCCAGGUGUCUCCAAGUCAUAGAUAUUCCUGCAGAGCCCGGCAGAAGCUAAGAUAGCAUGCACUUAUCUAGCCUUCUGGUACAGUGGCUUAGAGGAAUAACGAAACAGUCUUCCAGAUCACUCUUGGUUGUUAAUGGUUGUGUAAAUUCAGUGUCAAAGGUUACACUUACAAUUUUUUCUGGGGAAAUUGCCAGAGUGUUUGAUCUCCUCAAGUUUGGCCUGUGCUGCUGAAGCUAGCAGGAACUAAAUAACCUGGGGCCUUCAUACAUAUGGUUGUUGGGGGUAGAUUUAGAUGUGUAAAGAUGCAAAUAAAUGCUUCCAUGCAAUAUUCCAGGGAGAAUUAGCCUUUUUGGAAAUUCAGGUGCUUGAUUUUUCUCCCCUAGCCUGUCUCGCUCUGGCAGCAAAUCCAGGGAUGGCCAGUGUACAUUACACGACCAGUUUAAGAGUGGCUUCCAUGGCACAGCUACUUUAUAUGCCUGGCAGCUGGGCUGGGCCAUCCUGGGGUUUUAGGAGCCACCUGGGUCUCUGGCUGUGUGAGGAGGGGCUGCUGACCCUAGGAUGCUCUGGGAUGUGAUCUGUAGCUCCUGCUGCAAGGAAGUUGUCACCUGCCUCCACCCCUCGACUCUCCACAAUACGUAGUGUGUGUCCUUUCCCUUAAAUGCUGUGGGGAGGCAGGAGGUCGGCAGAAUGAAGAUCAGGCUUUUGCGGCAGCGCACGUGUACAGUCAGCGUUCAGUCACAGCCACGGCCACCCUGCCUGGCUGAAUCAGACGGCGUGUGUGGCUGCGCCGGAGCUGGCUGCGGUUCCUGGCUGUACUGUGGCCAGGGCCCAAGCAUUACCUGGGAGAGCUGGCUGGGCAGUGCCAAAAUUCUGUGGGAGCAGUGCUAAUGCGUAAAAAGCCUGAGCGACACGGCCCAUCGUCUCUGCUGUGCUGUACUUGCUCCUACUGUGUGAAAUAGCUUUUCCCCAUACGUGCGAUCAUGCGGAAACAUGCUCGUGUCUUGAAUAUGCCCCGAGAUGCGGAGCCUGAAGGUGCGGCACUUAACGAGGUGCUGCAGCAAGCAAAUGCCAAUGCCAGCGAGAAAAUCUGCCUUUUGCAUUGAAGAGAUCUGAGUAUUUUCCAUUUACUGACAGAUUAGUAAGGCAGAAAGAACAAAGUCGUUUAAUCCCUGAAU